rnacentral:rRNA from 1 species
AACGAGAAAGCGGGAGCAAUCUCGCGAGUACAGUGGCGUACGGGUGAGUAACACGUGGGUAAUCUACCUCCGAGUGGGGAAUAACCCUGGGAAACCGGGGCUAAUACCGCAUAAGCCCGAGAGGGGAAAGCAGCAAUGCGCUGGGAGAGGAGCCCGCGGCCGAUUAGCUAGUUGGUGGGGUAAAAGCCCACCAAGGCAAAGAUCGGUAGCCGGCCUGAGAGGGCACACGGCCACACUGGCACUGAAACACGGGCCAGACUCCUACGGGAGGCAGCAGUGGGGAAUCUUGCACAAUGGGGGAAACCCUGAUGCAGCGACGCCGCGUGAGCGAUGAAGCCCUUCGGGGUGUAAAGCUCUUUCGGCAGGGACGAUUAUGACGGUACCUGCAGAAGCAGCUGCGGCUAACUACGUGCCAGCAGCCGCGGUAAUACGUAGGCAGCGAGCGUUGUUCGGAGUUACUGGGCGUAAAGGGUGUGUAGGCGGUCCCUUAAGCUUGGUGUGAAAUCUCCCGGCUCAACUGGGAGGGUGCGCCGGAUACUGAGGGGCUAGAGUGCGGGAAGGGAAAGUGGAAUUCCUGGUGUAGCGGUGAAAUGCGUAGAUAUCAGGAGGAACACCGGUGGUGCAAACGGCUUUCUGGACCGUAACUGACGCUGAGACACGAAAGCGUGGGGAGCAAACAGGAUUAGAUACCCUGGUAGUCCACGCCCUAAACGAUGCACGUUUGGUGUAGGUCAUUCAGUUGAUCUGUGCCGGAGCUAACGCGUUAAACGUGCCGCCUGGGGAGUACAGUCGCAAGGCUGAAACUCAAAGGAAUUGACGGGGGCCCGCACAAGCGGUGGAGC